rnacentral:sRNA from 1 species
GUUCAUACGACCACCAAUGAUUCAGUAGCCUGUGAGAAUCGCCUUCGGGUGGCUACAGCUAAAGCUCCUGUAACCUGAAAGGGAGCAAACUUUGGUACAUCUGCGCACCUUUGAAAGCAGAUAUC